GGAGAGAUGGCUGAGCUGGUCUAAGGCGCACGACUGGAAAUCGUGUAAGCGUUUAUAGCGCUUCGAGAGUUCGAAUCUCUCUCUCUCCGCCA
rnacentral:tRNA from 1 species